GAUGAACGCUGGCUACAGGCUUAACACAUGCAAGUCGAGGGGAAACGGCGUUGAGUGCUUGCACUGAAUGGACGUCGACCGGCGCACGGGUGAGUAACGCGUAUCCAACCUUCCCGUUACUGCGGGAUAACCUGCCGAAAGGCAGACUAAUACCGCAUGUUUUCGAUGACGGCAUCAGAUUGAAGCAAAGAUCCGUCGGUAACGGAGGGGGAUGCGUCUGAUUAGCUUGUUGGCGGGGCGACGGCCCACCAAGGCGACGGUCAGUAGGGGUUCUGAGAGGAAGGUCCCCCACAUUGGAACUGAGACACGGUCCAAACUCCUACGGGAGGCAGCAGUGAGGAAUAUUGGUCAAUGGGCGGAAGCCUGAACCAGCCAAGUAGCGUGCAGGAGGACGGCCCUACGGGUUGUAAACUGCUUUUAUGCGGGGAUAAAGUGAGGGACGUGUCCCUUUUUGCAGGUACCGCAUGAAUAAGGACCGGCUAAUUCCGUGCCAGCAGCCGCGGUAAUACGGAAGGUCCGGGCGUUAUCCGGAUUUAUUGGGUUUAAAGGGAGCGUAGGCCGGGGAUUAAGUGUGUUGUGAAAUGUAGGCGCCCAACGUCUGACUUGCAGCGCAUACUGGUUCCCUUGAGUACGCGCAACGCCGGCGGAAUUCGUCGUGUAGCGGUGAAAUGCUUAGAUAUGACGAAAACCCCGAUUGCGAAGGCAGCCGGCGGGAGCGCAACUGACGCUGAAGCUCGAAGGUGCGGGUAUCGAACAGGAUUAGAUACCCUGGUAGUCCGCACGGUAAACGAUGGAUGCCCGCUGUCGGCGCCUCGCGCCGGCGGCCAAGCGAAAGCGUUAAGCAUCCCACCUGGGGAGUACGCCGGCAACGGUGAAACUCAAAGGAAUUGACGGGGGCCCGCACAAGCGGAGGAACAUGUGGUUUAAUUCGAUGAUACGCGAGGAACCUUACCCGGGCUUGAAUUGCAGGAGAACGAAACAGAGA
rnacentral:rRNA from 1 species